CGAGGAGGCCCCAGUUGAGGGGAGACGCCCGUAGCGAGAGCACGGUGUCGCUCGCUGUUCAGAAGUGUUCAGAAGUGCGUCGCUCUGUUAUACGUGUGCAAAUCGUGCCCUUUGGAAAUUACAGGUGUUCCGAAACAGAUAGUUUUAAUCGUUAUCCAAAGAGGAAAG